CCUACGGGAGGCUGCAGUAGGGAAUUUUCGUCAAUGGGCGCAAGCCUGAACGAGCAAUGCCGCGUGAACGAGGAAGGUUCUUGGAUCGUAAAGUUCUGUUGAAGGGGUAAAAGAGCGGAGAGAGGAAAUGCUUUCUGAUUGAUAUUACCCUUCGAGGAAGUCACGGCUAACUACGGGCCAGUAGCCGCGGUAAUACGUAGGUGGCGAGCGUUAUCCGGAAUGAUUGGGUGAAAGGGGUGCGUUGUCGGCCUGCUAAGUCUGGCGGAAAAGGUACCGGUUCAACCGGUACAGGCUCUGGAUACUGGCGGACUAGAGAGCAGGAGAGGGCGGUGGAACUCCAGGUGUAGCGGUAAAAUGCGUAGAUAUAUAGAAGAACACCAGUGGCGAAGGCGGCCGCCUGGCCUGUUACUGACGCUGAGGCACGAAGGCGUGGGGAGCAAAUGGGAUUAGAUACCCGUGUAGUC
rnacentral:rRNA from 1 species